rnacentral:pre_miRNA from 1 species
AUUCUACUCCCUCCGUUGCACAAUACAUGCCUUCUAUUUGUCAAAAUAUAUAUGUAUCUAGACAUGUUUUAGUAUAUAGGUACAUCCAUUUUUGGACAAAUGGAAGUCAAGUAUUUUGGAACGGAAGGAGUACACA